AUGUGUUAAUGAAGAAAGUUAGACAUCGAAAGUUGGAUAAAUUAUCAAGUACCCCCUCUGUUCCUAAAAGAAUGAUGUUUUGGAUUUUUCACACAUACUAAGAAAAGUAACU
rnacentral:sRNA from 1 species